rnacentral:rRNA from 1 species
UCUAGGUCUGGCAAUUGGAAUGAGAACAAUUUAAAUCCCUUAUCGAGGAUCAAUUGGAGGGCAAGUCUGGUGCCAGCAGCCGCGGUAAUUCCAGCUCCAAUAGCGUAUAUUAAAGUUGUUGCAGUUAAAAAGCUCGUAGUUGAAUUUCUGGUGGGAGUGUACAGUCCGACACUGAGUGUUGGUUCUUGUGUGUCUCCGGCCAUCCUUGGAGUGAAUCUAUCUGGCAUUCAGUUGUUGGGUAGAGUAUCUCCAUCGUUUACUGUGAGGAAAGGAAAGUGUUCAAAGCAGGCUUACGCCGUUGAAUCUUUUAGCAUGGAAUAAUAAGAUAGGAUCUUGAUACUAUUUUGUUGGUUUGCGUGUCGAGAUAAUGAUCAAUAGGGACAGUUGGGGGUAUUUGUAUUCCAUAGUCAGAGGUGAAAUUCUUGGAUUUAUGGAAGACAAACUAAUGCGAAAGCAUCUACCAAGGAUGUUUUCAUUAAUCAAGAACGAAAGUGUGGGGACCGAAGAUGAUUAGAUACCAUCGUAGUCUACACCAUAAACCAUGCCGACUCAGGGUUGAC